ACUGUGAUUCCCUUAGUAACGGCGAGUGAAGCGGGAAAAGCCCAUCGUUUAAUCUCCCUGGACUGUGGACAGGGCGAAAUGUAACGGUAUGGAUAGGUUCUCUACCAGCAAGGUCCGGUCAAAGUCCUCCGGAUUGAGGUGCCAGAGAGGGUGACAGCCCCGUGUGUGACUGGACCGAGCUGGGUAUGUGGCCGAUUCCGAGAGUCGGGUUGUUUGGGACUGCAACCUAAAGCAGGUGGUAAACUCCACCCAAGGCUAAAUAUUGACACGAAACCGAUAGCGAACAAGUACUGUGAAGGAAAGUUGAAAAGAACUCUGAAAAGAGAGUUAAAAGUACGUGAAACCGCUAACGGGGAAGCGGAAGGCAGUGUCGAGAUUGAGCAAGUGGGUCGUUUCAAGUGUGUUUGGUAUGCCGAGUGUCGGUGUGUAAUGUGCACUUGGAGCGGCUAGCUUUGCUUGAUGCGUCAGGCCUAUUGGCGUGCGAUGGUUCAAUCGUCGGCAUGGCUUCUGCGACACUUGGGCUUGCCCAAGCUCGCGGUUGCGGCUGGCGAUCCGCCUCGUGUGCUGAUAUGUGUGAGAUGGAGCGCCGGUGACGUACGGUCGGCUGGUGCUGCGCGGCGCUUUGCAUUGGUCACAUUGUGGCUACGUGUGGACGCGUCGCGUGGUAGUUCAGCAACCGGUGCUAGCUCCUGACGUGAUACCUAACUUUC
rnacentral:rRNA from 1 species